UACGUAGGGUGCGAGCGUUGUCCGGAAUUAUUGGGCGUAAAGGGCUCGUAGGCGGUUUGUCGCGUCGGGAGUGAAAACCUACAGCUUAACUGUGGGCUUGCUUUCGAUACGGGCAGACUAGAGUGAUGUAGGGGAGACUGGAAUUCCUGGUGUAGCGGUGAAAUGCGCAGAUAUCAGGAGGAACACCGGUGGCGAAGGCGGGUCUCUGGGCCGAUAUUGACGCUGAGGAGCGAAAGCGUGGGGAGCGAACAGG
rnacentral:rRNA from 1 species